rnacentral:rRNA from 1 species
GGAUUAGGCAUGCAAGUCGAACGAGAAAGUUUUCUUCGGAGAACGAGUAGAGUGGCGAACGGGUGAGUAAUGCAUGGAUAACUUGCCCCUGAGAUGGGAAUAACGUUUCGAAAGGAACGCUAAUACCCAAUACUGUCGAAGCUCUUCGGGGUUUCGAUGAAAGGAGGCCUCUGACUCAAGCUUCCGCUCAGGGAGAGGUUCAUGUCCUAUUAGCUUGUUGGUGAGGUAACGGCUCACCAAGGCUGCGAUGGGUAGCCGACCUGAGAGGGUGACCGGCCACAUUGGGACUGAGACACUGCCCAAACUCCUACGGGAGGCUGCAGUCGAGAAUCUUCCGCAAUGCGCGCAAGCGUGACGGAGCGACGCCGCGUGGGUGAUGAAGGCCUUCGGGUUGUAAAGCCCUGUCAGUUGCUAGGAAUUGGAGGCGGUGAAUAAUCGUCCUUCUUGACCAGGCUUCAAAGGAAGCACCGGCUAAAUACGUGCCAGCAGCCGCGGUAAUACGUAUGGUGCAAACGUUGUUCGGAAUCACUGGGCCUAAAGAGCGCGUAGGCGGUUUGAUAAGUCAGGUGUGAAAUCCCUCGGCUCAACCGAGGAACUGCACCUGAUACUGUCUGACUAGAGUGCAGGAGGGGAGAGUGGAAUUCCUGGUGGAGCGGUGAAAUGCGUAGAUAUCAGGAGGAACGCCGGUGGCGAAAGCGACUCUCUGGCCUGCUACUGACGCUGAGGCGCGAAAGCCAGGGGAGCAAACGGGAUUAGAUACCCCGGUAGUCCUGGCCCUAAACGAUGGGCACUAAGUAGAGGGGUUUU